UAGGGAAUCUUCGGCAAUGGACGAAAGUCUGACCGAGCAACGCCGCGUGAGUGAAGAAGGUUUUCGGAUCGUAAAACUCUGUUGUUAGAGAAGAACAAGGACGUUAGUAACUGAACGUCCCCUGACGGUAUCUAACCAGAAAGCCACGGCUAACUACGUGCCAGCAGCCGCGGUAAUACGUAGGUGGCAAGCGUUGUCCGGAUUUAUUGGGCGUAAAGCGAGCGCAGGCGGUUUCUUAAGUCUGAUGUGAAAGCCCCCGGCUCAACCGGGGAGGGUCAUUGGAAACUGGGAGACUUGAGUGCAGAAGAGGGGAGUGGAAUUCCAUGUGUAGCGGUGAAAUGCGGAGGUAUAUGGAGGAACACAAGUGGCGAAGGCGGCUCUCUGGUCUGUAACUGACGAUGAGGCUCGAAAGCGUGGGGAGCAAACAGG
rnacentral:rRNA from 1 species